rnacentral:rRNA from 1 species
AUGAUGUCCAUGCUCAGGAGGAAGCUCGGCGGAAUGCCUGUCAAACUAGUCAGCAUUGAUGUCGAGUACACGCACUACGUGAAGCCACAGCCAAUGGAACUAGACAAAUUCCUCAUGAAUGGUGAGUACACCUUCGUCGGAUUCUCCAUUGAAGGAGACAAAAGCAAGCUGAAGCUAUCUGGAUUGGAGAUCAACUCCGACAACUACAUUGAUAUUCAGGUGGAAUGGAGAGACCCAUACAAUAAAAAGAAGUUUGACUCUUUGGCUGAUGUUGCCGGCAGGAUGAUAGACAUUCACUACCAUGACAUGAAGAAAAAAAAAUUAACCGCAAGGAGGACCAUACUCUGUGGGGAUUUUGCCCGCUGCCAGAAAAGCUUAUCAAGUAUGCAGCAAUAG